GAUAUGAAGAAUAGUUUCCUCUAUUCAAGAAUCACAGAUACUUAAUGAAAGGAAUGGCAAGCAGUCCCAUCCCCCUUGGGCACAGACUCCACUAUGUGGGAACAUGUCAGCCCCAGAUUUGGGUCCGCUGGCCUAUCCAAUGUUUAUUGGUUACUCCAAGAUUUUCAGCUUGCUGUCAGAGGAAACUAGCAUCCAGAACAGAGAGUAAGUGGUUCAAGAAUCCACAGACAAAGCGUUCUUCCUUCCACUCCAAGCAAAACAGUCCACUGCUGCCCCGCUUCUCAUCCAUACCUAAAGCACACUAUGUGCCUCCAACUCGAGCCCUGAUGUUGAAUCUCAGCAGACUCACUGGAAAGGGACAAGAGGAGCUUGGCUCGUAACUCAUGGAUUCCAGCC
rnacentral:lncRNA from 1 species